rnacentral:misc_RNA from 1 species
CUGAGUGAGGGCUCCGGCCCGACCUCCAACCCCAUGUGAACCGAAACCUGUUGCUUCGGGGGCGACCCUGCCUCUGCGCGAGGCGCCCCCGGAGGCUCAUCAAACACUGCAUCUUUGCGUCGGAGUCUUAAUGAAUUUAAACA